GCUUUCGUGGGGUAGUGGUCAGCACGCUGGGCGCUUAUUCCAGAGGUCUGUGGUUCGAGUCCCCGGUGAAAGCG
rnacentral:tRNA from 1 species